rnacentral:rRNA from 1 species
AUUGAACGCUGGCGGCAGGCCUAACACAUGCAAGUCGAACGAGUGGCGGACGGGAGAGUAAUGUCUGGGAAACUGCCUGAUCGAGGGGGAUAACUACUGGAAACGGUAGCUAAUACCGCAUACCAUCGGAUGUGCCCAGAUGGGCUUAGCGAGUAGGUGGGGUAAAGGCUCACCUAGUCGACGAUCCCUAGCUGGUCUGCGAGGAUGACCAGCCACACUGGAACUGAGACACGGUCCAGAUUCCUACGGGAGGCAGCGGAGGGGAAUAUUGGACAAUGGGCGAAAGCCGGAUGCAGCCAGGCGGCGUGUAGGAAGAAGGCCUUCGGGUUGUAAAGUACUUUCAGCGGGGAGGCGUUACCCGCAGAGGAAGCACCGGCUAACUCCGUGCCAGCAGCCGCGGUAAUUC